GACAGAGGGUGCAAACGUUGUUCGGAAUUACUGGGCGUAAAGCGCGUGUAGGCGGCUAAGUAAGUCGGGCGUGAAAUCCCACGGCUCAACCGUGGAAGUGCACUCGAAACUGCAUAGCUAGAGUCCUGGAGAGGAAGGUGGAAUGCUUGGUGUAGAGGUGAAAUUCGUAGAUAUCAAGCGGAACACCGGUGGCGAAGGCGGCCUUACUGGACAGUGACUGACGCUGAGACGCGAAAGCGUGGGGAGCAACAGG
rnacentral:rRNA from 1 species